AUCAUGUGACCACAGAGCGUCCACCCUCUCUCUAUAAAAACUGCUUUCUGCUGCCUCCUCAGUAUCAGAGAUCUUCAUGAAGCCAACAGACUCAGGAAACUCAGAAGAAACACGAACAACACAUGAUGAGCUACGAAGGUCGUGUACACUGCAGUAUGAAAGAACCUACCAAACGUGGUUGGUUUUUUAAUGAUAAAGCUGUCAGCUGCAGAGUCUGUCGGGUGAACUGUCACUAUCCAUGCACAGAGUGGUGGGGUGCAGCAAACUGUAAGGUCAUGAGAGAUGGCCGCUGCACUGUAUGUCCUCGGAAGUGUUCUGUAUCAAAACAUGACAAAGAUGAUUCUAUGUAUGUGAGGACAUGAGACAUGAGAGACAACUAUGAAAGCAUGUGGGAACUUUAGAAAAGCAAAUGGAAGAACUUCAGAAAGUCCUUCGAGCUUGUUGUCAAAGUGGAUAGAUGUGUCUUUUUCAUUCUAGUUCUAUGAAGUGUGAUGAUGAUGUCAUAAGUUCAUGAGGAAAUUCAAAUGUAAUCACCUUUUAAAUGUCAGAUGUGUACUUCGCGCCCUCUGUUGUGUGGAAUGACUGCUGCUCUUCUUGUACUUCCAUGUUUGCUCACCAAUAGUGAGUUCAGUGUGCAGAUUAACAUCAGUGCUGAAUCAUGGCAGCAGAUUUAUUUGGUGUUGAACAGCUGUUAGUUUUCUCUCUGGAUUCUUCCAUCAGCUCAUCGAUCAGCUUUUCUCCUCUCAUCAGAUGUCAUGGAUACACCUGGGACAGCUGCCAGCUCUGGUCUAAAGGAGUGAGGGCGCCCCCUGGUGUCUCAUGCUGAGUACAACAGCUCCCUCCCUCCCCCACAACACAAACUAAACACAGUCAGAUCCUGUUGGACUAAAUCCAUUUAUUUUUUCUCUUCUAAUCAUGUUUUCUCCACUAUGAUUGUGUUUGUGCUUGUAUGAAUAGACGUGUCUUAUAUAUCCACCAUGAUGUCACAAUGUUGAAGCUGUUGGGAAACUAAAGUGAACUCAUUAUAAAGGAGUUUAGCCUGGAGGGGGGUUGAAACCUCUUCCUGUGUUCUGAGAGUGUUAAUAAUAUAUCUUAAUAUCUUUCUCAAUAAUAAAGAAGAUUCCAGUUAAUGUGUGUUGUAUCAAAGUCCUAUAAGAGCUGAGGACAGACUGCCUCUCCUCAGUCACACCUGUGUAAUGCUGAUGAUGCUCUGACCUGCAAACAAUAAAGAUCUGCUGACAUUAUGAA